UGGGUUGUACGUUGUUGGGUGCUAAUCACUCUCUCAAUCCAAAACCCAGUCAAGUCUGCCUCUCUCUCUCAAACGACCUCCGCAUGCGUCUCCAAUACUGCUCCUCUCUCUCAAUCAAAACUUUCUCCUCUUUUUAGUCUGGGUUGUUACAAAAUCCGACAACAUUAGAAUUACGUAUACGUGGUGCCUGAGUUUCUUCGACGACGAUAAUCAAAUAACUGCCUGGUUCUUUUCUCAAACAAUCCCCACCCACUUUUUUUCAUCCUGCAACACUCUGCACGAGGAUGGUAGUUUUAGGUUAAUCUAGAACUUUUAAGUUUCAAGUUAUUCAGUAGCAAGCAGCUUUGGAGGACAGUAAAAAUAAGGUCAACUUAUGCCUUGGAGGCUUGGAUUGGAGCAUUAGAAUUUGAGAUUGUUGAUAAAGCUUUUCUAAAGCAGCUCAAACUGUUCCGGAGUUAAUUUUUUCAACUUAGCUUUCAUUUUGUUAUUAAGAUUUGGUUGUAUUCAAUUUAAUUGUGAUUUGUAUUCUUAUGGAUUUUGUGGCAAUUUUGGUUAAAAGAACAGGGAAUGGUAAGAGACUUGGAAAGGGAGGAUUUCAUACAUGAAAGCUUUGGAAAUGUUAUCCCCUCAAGCAUAUUACUGAGAGCCAGAACCAGGUUGUGAUUACUGAUAGGAUCUGGGCCACAACUCCUUUCUUCAACCAACCAACCAAGCUUCUUGAACCCCAAAGAUGUUGAUGAAGUCCAAAAAGAGCAAGAGCCUCCAACUCAACUGCUAGACAGGGAAAAUUGUAAAGCUAGCAAGUACUGAAGACAUUCCUGGCAUGACAUGAAAACACAAGACUGUUUUAUUCAAAACCUUCUGUUAGAAUCAUAAGUAUUCAGAUCUUUGGUUGAUGCCCUACUAACCCAGAAUGUUGAUGGGAAUUCACAUUUUUGACUGCCAGUAUCAUCUGUGGAGCAUAAUUGUUUGUUGUUGUAUCAGAUGAAUUCAAUUCACCAUGCCCUACCGAAGAGAUUUCUGCUUAAAGUGUUCAUUUGGUAGAAGCAAAACUAGCAUAUCUGAAUGGGAUUAGCAGAGUCUAAUUAAGUUCCACCCUUGUACGAGUUUGUAAUUACUUGGGUCAUUGCAUAUUUUUGACGAGUGCUGCUACUGGCCAUUUGUUCUAUUGGAUAGUUUUGGGUGUUUAGCAGUAGAUAGUAGUUUGGAUGUUUAACAGGAGCUGCUAUGCCAUUUGUUUUGUUUCAUCUUUAUGCUUUCAUUUUAAAAUU
rnacentral:lncRNA from 1 species